rnacentral:rRNA from 1 species
CCUACGGGAGGCAGCAGUGGGGGAUAUUGCACAAUGGGGGAAACCCUGAUGCAGCGACGCCGCGUGAGCGAAGAAGUAUUUCGGUUUGUAAAGCUCUAUCAGCAGGGAAGAAAAUGACAGUUCCUGACCAAUAAGCCCCUGCCAACUACUUGCCAGCAGCCGCGGUCAUACGUUGGGGGCAAGCGUUAACCGGAUUUACUGGGGGGAAAGGGAGCGGAGGUGGUUAUGUGAAGCUGGAACGAAAGCCCGGGGUCGAAUCCCGGGACUGCUUUGGAGACUGUGUAACGGGAGUACUAGAGAGGCAAGCGGAAUUCCAGGUGAAGCGGUGAAAUGCGUAGAUAUAAGGAAGAACACCAGCGGCGAAGGCGGCCUACUGGACUGAAACUGACGUUGAGGCUCGAAAGCGUGGGGAGCAAACAGGAUUGGAUACCCGGGUAGUC